AGGCUGAAACUCGCCUGCACGAAGUUGGAGUUGCUAGUAAUCGCAGAUCAGAAUGCUGCGGUGAAUACGUUCCCGGGCCUUGUACACACCGCCCGUCACACCAUGGGAGCCGGUAAUACCCGAAGUCAGUAGUCCAACCUCGUGAGGACGCUGCCGAAGGUAGGAUUGGCGACUGGGGUGAAGUCGUAACAAGGUAUC
rnacentral:rRNA from 1 species